CGUAGGAGGCAAGCGUUAUCCGGAGUUACUGGGCGUAAAGCGCGUGUAGGUGGAUUGGUAAGUUACUUAUAAAAGCUCCUGGCUAAACUAGGAGAGGUUGGGUGAUACUGCCAGUCUUGAAUAGAGGAGAGGUUGACGGAAUUCCGCGUGUAGUGGUGAAAUGCGUAGAGAUGCGGAAGAACACCAGUGGCGAAGGCGGUCAACUGGCCUCAUAUUGACACUCAGACGCGAAAGCAUGGGUAGCGAACGGGAUUAGAAACCCCGGUAGUCCAUGCCAUAAACGAUGCACACUGAAUGUUCGUUGUCCUACGGGGCAAUGAGUGUUGAAGCAAACGCGUUAAGUGUGCCGCCUGGGGAGUACGGUCGCAAGGCUA
rnacentral:rRNA from 1 species